UAUGUGUGUGCUAUGUUGUUUAUUAUAAAAUUAAACUGUUUACAUACAGGUCAAAUUUAUGGGCAAGAAUAGAUAAACUAGAAUCAGUCAUGAAUAAUUUUGCAACAGAACGUUACAGCAGGUAUCGGAUUUGCAGUCGUCACUUUGAACUAAAAAUGUAUCCACAUCAGCUGUUGUGCCACCGACUGAAAGCAACAGCAUAUCCAACUCUUCAUGUUUCAGGUGAAACAAUAAAGACAACCAAACAAACAGUUGUGACAAACGAACCAAGACUUUCCACCUCAAAAAUAUUGACAUUUAUGAAUCGUCACAUUUUACUUCUGGCAGUGUUUACUCUGAUUAAGCAACACCAAUAAGGCCGUCCACAUCGAUAAGUUAUGAAAUUUGUUUAGAUUAUUUUCAGCAUUGUGAAGGAACAAACUGUGUUGAAGAUGGAGAACAUUUUUAAUAACAUUAGACAGCGGAACGAUGAGUGCUUAUAAUUUUGACUACCUAUUUGUUUCCAGAGAAAAACGUUUUUACUCCUUUAAUUGUAGAAACUGCAGAACAUACAAAUGUAGAAUAUCCUCUACUACAUAUGUGGGGAUUUAUUUUAGAAAUGUUUA